rnacentral:lncRNA from 1 species
ACACUUAACGAAAAUAGGGACCAUCAGGGAUAUUAAGCCUUUCUUUAAUGAAACCCAAUUUUUAAUGAGGGUGGAUAGCCAAAUUAGGGUUUUUAACCAAUCUUCUUCCCAAUCUUGGUGGUUGAUUAGCCAUGUUUACUUCCCAAUCUUCUUCUUCUUGUUGUUGCACUAGCUUGGGCCACCAAAAUUGUCAUUCCUNACUUGGUGGUGGUUCAAUGGGGGUAGAGAUAAUCCCUAUUUGCAAUAAUCUGCAGGUUAGGCCUCAAUACCACAAUCUGCAACAAACUAGACCCCAACAAGCACCACUUCCUAAAGCUUCCAAAAUCAUAAGGCAAGAACCCCAUUUUUUCCACAACAGUAUGAGUAAAGCCCUAAACCCCAAAAAAAAAUGCUCAAAUGCUUGUCAAAUGAAAACCCCGUUGGUGAAGAACCCAUUAUUCGGAGGUGAUUAACUUAUUCCUCUUCUUGAGUUUGUCGGCGAUUUUGGAGGGAGAACGGGUGGUAGCCAUUGACGAAGGCAAAGGUGAAACAGGUUGGGUUCCCAAAUUCUAAGAACCCUAAUGAAUUUCAAAAAUGCCAGGUUGUGUUCCCAGGUUGUGGCAUUUUCAAAAAGCAAACCCUAAUAUCUGCA